UCGGCCUCUAUUUUUGUUUCUUCGCUUAGUAAUGCAUAUCAUGCUGCAUGGCCCAUUUUAAAAUUACAUAUACGUCAAUAUAUUUUCUUUAUUAUAAAAACUUAACAAAAUGACAGACAUAUUUCUUUUGUUAGUUUAUGAUUUAAAUUUGUGUUAGUCGCUUUAAUAUAUUUUAAUUCCAUGGUCUUCCUUCCUUAAUAAUUGGAGGGGUCUCUAUUAUGAAAAG